rnacentral:rRNA from 1 species
AAUGUAGCUGCUAAGGCGUCGAGCGGCGGACGGGUGAGUAACGCGUAGGAAUCUGCCUAGUAGUGGGGGACAACCUGUGGAAACGCAGGCUAAUACCGCAUAAGCCCUGAGGGGGAAAGGAGGGGAUCUUCGGACCUUUCGCUAUUAGAUGAGCCUGCGUGAGAUUAGCUAGUUGGUGAGGUAAAGGCUCACCAAGGCGACGAUCUCUAGCUGGUCUGAGAGGAUGAUCAGCCACACUGGGACUGAGACACGGCCCAGACUCCUACGGGAGGCAGCAGUGGGGAAUAUUGGACAAUGGGCGCAAGCCUGAUCCAGCCAUACCGCGUGUGUGAAGAAGGCCCUAGGGUUGUAAAGCACUUUCAGAGGGGAGGAAAGGUUAAUGGUUAAUACCCAUUAGCUGUGACGUUACCUUCAGAAGAAGCACCGGCUAACUCUGUGCCAGCAGCCGCGGUAAUACAGAGGGUGCGAGCGUUAAUCGGAAUUACUGGGCGUAAAGCGCGCGUAGGUGGUUUGUUAAGUCGGAUGUGAAAGCCCAGGGCUCAACCUUGGAAUUGCACCCGAUACUGGCAGGCUAGAGUACGAUAGAGGAGUGUGGAAUUUCCUGUGUAGCGGUGAAAUGCGUAGAUAUAGGAAGGAACAUCAGUGGCGAAGGCGACACUCUGGAUUGAUACUGACACUGAGGUGCGAAAGCGUGGGGGAGCAAACAGGAUUAGAUACCCUGGUAGUCCACGCCGUAAACGAUGUCUACUAGCCGUUGGGUUGUAAUGACUUAGUGGCGCAGCUAACGCGAUAAGUAGACCGCCUGGGGAGUACGGCCGCAAGGUUAAAACUCAAAUGAAUUGACGGGGGCCCGCACAAGCGGUGGAGCAUGUGGGUUUAAUUCGAAGCAACGCGAAGAACCUUACCUACUCUUGACAUCCAUAGAAUUUGGCAGAGAUGCCUUAGUGCCUUCGGGAACUAU